AGACACGGCCCAGACUCCUACGGGAGGCAGCAGUGGGGAAUAUUGCACAAUGGGCGAAAGUCUGAUGCAGCGACGCCGNNNNNNUAGGUGGGAGACUUUGAAGCCGUGACGCCAGUCAUGGUGGAGUCGCCGUUGAAAUACCACUCUGGUCGUGCUGGAUGUCUAACCUCGGUCCGUGAUCCGGAUCAGGGACAGUGUCUGAUGGGUAGUUUAACUGGGGCGGUUGCCUCCCAAAGGGUAACGGAGGCGCCCAAAGGUUCCCUCAGCCUGGUUGGCAAUCAGGUGUUGAGUGUAAGUGCACAAGGGAGCUUGACUGUGAGACCGACGGGUCGAGCAGGGACGAAAGUCGGGACUAGUGAUCCGGCGGUGGCUUGUGGAAGCGCCGUCGCUCAACGGAUAAAAGGUACCCCGGGGAUAACAGGCUGAUCUUCCCCAAGAGUCCAUAUCGACGGGAUGGUUUGGCACCUCGAUGUCGGCUCGUCGCAUCCUGGGGCUGGAGUCGGUCCCAAGGGUUGGGCUGUUCGCCCAUUAAAGCGGUACGCGAGCUGGGUUUAGAACGUCGUGAGACAGUUCGGUCCCUAUCCGCUGUGCGCGUAGGAAUAUUGAGAAGGGCUGUCCCUAGUACGAGAGGACCGGGACGGACGAACCUCUGGUGUGCCAGUUGUCCUGCCAAGGGCAUGGCUGGUUGGCUACGUUCGGGAGGGAUAACCGCUGAAAGCAUCUAAGCGGGAAGCCUGCUUCGAGAUGAGUAUUCCCACCUCCUUGAGAGGGUAAGGCUCCCAGUAGACGACUGGGUUGAUAGGCCGGAUGUGGAAGCCCAGUAAUGGGUGGAGCUGACCGGUACUAAUAGGCCGA
rnacentral:ncRNA from 1 species